rnacentral:rRNA from 1 species
AACUUUUGACGGUGGAUCUCUUGGCUCACGCAUCGAUGAGGAGCGCAGCCAGCUGCGAUAAGUAGUGUGAAUUGCAGAAUUCAGUGAAUCAUCGAAUCUUUGAACGCAAAUGGCGCUCUUGGGUUCUCCCAGGAGCAUGUCUGUCUGAGUGUCGGAUA